rnacentral:rRNA from 1 species
UGCAAUCGAGCGAGGCGUGUAGCAAUACACAGUCGAGCGGCGAACGGGUGAGUAACGCGUGGAUUAUCUGCCCUGAGGUGGGAGAUAACCCGGGGAAACUCGGGCUAAUACCGCAUAGGACCGUGAGGUCAAAGGGGGGUCGCAAGAUCUCUCGCCAUAGGAGGAGUCCGCGUCCGAUUAGCUAGUUGGUAGGGUAAUGGCCUACCAAGGCGACGAUCGGUAGCCGGCCUGAGAGGGUGAUCGGCCACACUGGAACUGAGACACGGUCCAGACUCCUACGGGAGGCAGCAGUGGGGAAUUUUGCGCAAUGGGCUAACGCCUGACGCAGCAACGCCGCGUGGAGGAUGAAGGUCCUUGGAUUGUAAACUCCUGUCAGCAGGGAAAAAGCAACUCAACCUAAUACGUUGAGAAGUUGAUUGUACCUGCAGAGGAAGCCCCGGCUAACUCUGUGCCAGCAGCCGCGGUAAUACAGAGGGGGCAAGCGUUAUUCGGAAUUAUUGGGCGUAAGGGGCGCGUAGGCGGCCUGGCAAGUGGAUGGUGAAAUCCCUCGGCUUAACCGAGGAACUGCCAUCCAGACUGCUUGGCUUGAGACCGGGAGAGGUGAGUGGAAUUCCCAGUGUAGCGGUGAAAUGCGUAGAUAUUGGGAGGAACACCAGUGGCGAAGGCGGCUCACUGGACCGGUACUGACGCUGAGGCGCGAAAGCGUGGGGAGCAAACGGGAUUAGAUACCCCGGUAGUCCACGCCGUAAACGAUGAGUGCUUGGUGUAGCGGGUAUCGACCCCUGCUGUGCCGAAGUCAACACAUUAAGCACUCCGCCUGGGGAGUACGGUCGCAAGGCUGA